CAAUUCUCCUCAGAGCUCGAGUUCAGGUGGAGUUGGCAGGUGUGAUCUCACAUUCACAGUGUUGCGUAAAUCAGGUGUGACCGUCACAUUCGCACGCUCACCUCGCCUUCCUGGAGUUCUGAAGGGAGAAAUAUACUUACAUUCCUGACCAUUCCACCAAUGGGCUUCUCAGUAACAAGAACAGCUGGAGAUCAUCAGUCCAGGAUCCCGCCCCUACCAUGGAGACAGACAGACAGACAGGGGGGUGGGAGGCAAAACUGCCCCCAGCCGGGGCAACACGGCUUCCAGAUACAGCUGUCUGGGCUGCCCACAUCCCCCCACCCAUUCAGUUCAAAGGCUGAAUGUGGAAAACAGCUCUUUCAAAGAAAACAGGGGGAAAACUUGAAAGCUGAUUGUGUCGGGUGAUGGGAAUUCCUGA